AGAGUUUGAUCCUGGCUCAGGACGAUCGCUGGCGGCGUGCCUAACACAUGCAAGUCGAGCGGAGACAGUGAGUAGCUUGCUACGAACCGUUUUAGCGGCGGACGGGUGAGUAACGCGUGAGCAACCUCUCCCAGACAGGGGAAUAACACACCGAAAGGUGUACUAAUACCGCAUAAGACCACGGUUUCACAUGGAACUGAGGUAAAAGAUUUAUCGGUUUGGGGUGGGCUCGCGUCCGAUUAGGUAGUUGGUGAGGUAACGGCCCACCAAGCCGACGAUCGGUAGCCGACCUGAGAGGGUGAUCGGCCACAUUGGGACUGAGACACGGCCCAAACUCCUACGGGAGGCAGCAGUGGGGAAUAUUGGGCAAUGGGGGGAACCCUGACCCAGCAACGCCGCGUGGAGGAAGAAGGUUUUCGGAUCGUAAACUCCUGUCCUUGGAGACGAGUAGAAGACGGUAUCCAAGGAGGAAGCCCCGGCUAACUACGUGCCAGCAGCCGCGGUAAUACGUAGGGGGCAAGCGUUGUCCGGAAUAAUUGGGCGUAAAGGGCGCGUAGGCGGCUCGGUAAGUCUGGAGUGAAAGUCCUGCUUUUAAGGUGGGAAUUGCUUUGGAUACUGUCGGGCUUGAGUGCAGGAGAGGUUAGUGGAAUUCCCAGUGUAGCGGUGAAAUGCGUAGAGAUUGGGAGGAACACCAGUGGCGAAGGCGACUAACUGGACUGUAACUGACGCUGAGGCGCGAAAGUGUGGGGAGCAAACAGGAUUAGAUACCCUGGUAGUCCAUGCCGUAAACGAUGAUUACUAGGUGUUGGGGGAUUGACCCCCUCAGUGCCGCAGUUAACACAAUAAGUAAUCCACCUGGGGAGUACGACCGCAAGGUUGAAACUCAAAGGAAUUGACGGGGGCCCGCACAAGCAGUGGAGUAUGUGGUUUAAUUCGAAGCAACGCGAAGAACCUUACCAGGUCUUGACAUCCGAUGCAUAGCACAGAGAUGUGUGAAAUCCUUCGGGACAUCGAGACAGGUGGUGCAUGGUUGUCGUCAGCUCGUGUCGUGAGAUGUUGGGUUAAGUCCCGCAACGAGCGCAACCCUUAUUGCCAGUUACUACGUUAAGAGGACUCUGGCGAGACUGCCGUUGACAAAACGGAGGAAGGUGGGGAUGACGUCAAAUCAUCAUGCCCUUUAUGACCUGGGCUACACACGUACUACAAUGGCGUUAAACAAAGAGAAGCAAGACCGCGAGGUGGAGCAAAACUCAAAAACAACGUCUCAGUUCAGAUUGCAGGCUGCAACUCGCCUGCAUGAAGUCGGAAUUGCUAGUAAUCGCGGAUCAGCAUGCCGCGGUGAAUACGUUCCCGGGCCUUGCACACAACGCCCGUCA
rnacentral:rRNA from 1 species